rnacentral:misc_RNA from 1 species
GAAGAGGAAAGGGAGAGAAAAAAGGGUUCCAAUUGCUCCUGCGUGUCUUCUUAACCAAUGUUUGAAAAUAAUGAUUGUCAUGAUUGUUACUUUAUCGUUGUACCUGUGGCAAAUGCAACAGGUAAACUGUGUGUAUUAACUGAGCUGAUAACAACAGUACUGGAGAAAUUUCAACUCCUUGAGAUGCAUUCAUGCAACAUAUAAAAAUGUUUGAGGCGACAGAAACAAAAAUAAAAG